GAAUUAUUAUCUACUAAUACCUAUACGUACCUAUAUAUAUAAUUAUAUUAUAUAUUUUCUUUUUGUACUAAACUUCAAGGUUUCUUAAUUUUUUCUUUUUAAAUUUAUGUUAUUAUUAUGAUUGAAUAAUAUUGUUAUUAAUUCUCAAUUAAAUUGUAAAAGUAACUCCCAAUUCAAAAUAUGUAACAUUAAACAAUUUAACAGUUUAUUCAUUAAUUACCUUUCAGGUAAAUACAUUUUUAAAAUAGUUUAUUUUAUUACACAACUUUUUUACUCUAUAUUUUCAAAUGAAAUUAAUUAUUUUUUGUAACUUGUUAUAUACUUAUUAAUAAGUAUAGGGUAUUUUUUUUUCUAAGUUUUUAGCCUUCGAUGGAUAGAUUAAAUUAAACAGGAUUUUAAGAAACUAGGGAUACUAGGGAAAGAAAAAGUAUAGAAUCGAGAAGAGUGGAAGGUGUCGGUGGCGGCAAAAACUCUUGAAGAGUUGUGAUGUCAAUGAUGAUGAUAAUGAAGUUUUUAGCCAUCGCUUACCAUAUCAAGAGAAAGCUGAUUUAACCACAAAAGGUUGGAGGAGGAUACAAAUAAAAUGUAUCCAUGUAUUUGGAUAUUAAUUUGGAAUCAAGUUUAAUUUAAUUAUUUAGAAUUUUGAAAUGUAAUGUAACCUAAUGAAUGCAAGUAACACAUAGCAUUUGAAACUGAUUAAAUCAAUUCCAUAUUUGUAUAUUAUUAUAAAUCCAAAUGAAUUUAUGAUCAAUAUUAUCUAAUUUCUUUUAGAAAAAUUAAGGUAACAACCAUUCUAAAUAAUGUAGGUAGAUAAUAGUGAUGUCUAUCGUUUACCCAUGUAAUGUUUUUCACUAAUUUUUGUGUUUGAAUUAAUAAAUUAUUACAUUUUUUUUUUGGUAAAGCGUAAAAUAAUAAGAAUUAAAAUUAAAAUUAGGUGUUUAACAAUUUGGAAUAUGAAGACUUAUGUAAG